rnacentral:misc_RNA from 1 species
GCAUUGGAUGAUAGAUAUUAAAUGUAUAGUGUAGACGGUUGUCGAAACAUGAACAGCAGUGUAGACAGAAGUGAAACCUUUUCGGUCACUUCGUUCCCAUGGUUGGAACCUUCCAUGUUAAGCUGAACUAAAAUUUGUUCUAUGAAAAAAGAGAUUUGCCGCAAGUUUUAGUUUAUGGAAGUCUUGUUUCUAUACAUUUAAUAUCUAUCAUCCAAUGC